GUUGGAACUGGACAAUAGGUGAGCUCUGUCGUUGGAACUGGACAAUAGGUGAGCUCUGUCGUUGGAACUGGACAAUAGGUGAGCUCUGUCGUUGGAACUGGACAAUAGGUGAGCUCUGUCAUUGGAACUGGACAAUAGGUGAGCUCUGUCAUUGGAACUGGACAAUAGGUGAGCUCUGUCGUUGGAACUGGACAAUAGGUGAGCUCUGUCGUUGGAACUGGACAAUAGGUGAGCUCUGUCAUUGGAACUGGACAAUAGGUGAGCUCUGUCAUUGGAACUGGACAAUAGGUGAGCUCUGUCAUUGGAACUGGACAAUAGGUGAGCUCUGUCGUUGGAACUGGACAAUAGGUGAGCUC